rfam:Hordeum vulgare subsp. vulgare, WGS project CAJW01000000 data, contig: morex_contig_1560067
AAAGUACUUCCUCUGUCUCAAAAUUCUUGUCUUAGGUUUGUCUACAAAUGGAUGUAUCAAAAUACUAAAACGUGACUAGAUACAUUCAUAUAUAGACAAAUCUAAGACAAGAAUUUUGGGACGGAGAGAGUAGUAU